rnacentral:rRNA from 1 species
UACGUAGGGGGCAAGCGUUGUCCGGAAUCAUUGGGCGUAAAGCGCGUGUAGGCGGCCCGAUAAGUCCGCUGUGAAAGUCCAGGGCUCAACCCUGGGAUGCCGGUGGAUACUGUCGGGCUCGAGUCCGGAAGAGGCGAGUGGAAUUCCUGGUGUAGCGGUGAAAUGCGCAGAUAUCAGGAGGAACACCAGUGGCGAAGGCGACUGUCUGGACAGAUACUGACGCUGAGGCGCGAAAGCGUGGGGAGCAAACAGG